AUGCCGAGUAUUACCAUCUAUGGAGUCUAUUGUGCUGAGCUGAUGUUUUUUGAGUCUCCUAGUGUGAGGGAGCUACCAGAGGAACCCCAAAGCACAACCACGGGGAUUGUCAAAGUCACGAAGGGUGAUGUGUCUGAGGCGCAGAUUAUACACAGGCUCAGUGAGUUGGCUCCAGGCAUUUUCCAGUGGGAGCUUACUCGUCUCGAGGCCAACACGUAUAAGGUCGAUUUCCCUACAACAGAGGACUUGGAGCAUCUUCUAAGCUUUGGGUUGUGCAGAGUUCCUGGGGCUCCAUCCAAGCCGCUUCAGGAUGCUAGGGUUGCGGCUAGCUUGGGGAUUCUGGUCGGUAAAACCGAGAAGGUGGACAUGGCCUUCACCCGGCAAACCGGGUGGCCCGACUGCUGGUGA
rnacentral:rRNA from 1 species